AGAGUUUGAUCCUGGCUCAGGACGAACGCUGGCGGCGCGCCUAACACAUGCAAGUCGAACGAGCGAGAGAGAGCUUGCUUUCUCAAGCGAGUGGCGAACGGGUGAGUAACGCGUGAGGAACCUGCCUCAAAGAGGGGGACAACAGUUGGAAACGACUGCUAAUACCGCAUAAGCCCACAGGUCGGCAUCGACCAGAGGGAAAAGGAGCAAUCCGCUUUGAGAUGGCCUCGCGUCCGAUUAGCUAGUUGGUGAGGUAAUGGCCCACCAAGGCAACGAUCGGUAGCCGGACUGAGAGGUUGAACGGCCACAUUGGGACUGAGACACGGCCCAGACUCCUACGGGAGGCAGCAGUGGGGAAUAUUGCACAAUGGGGGAAACCCUGAUGCAGCGACGCCGCGUGGAGGAAGAAGGUCUUCGGAUUGUAAACUCCUGUUGUUGAGGAAGAUAAUGACGGUACUCAACAAGGAAGUGACGGCUAACUACGUGCCAGCAGCCGCGGUAAAACGUAGGUCACAAGCGUUGUCCGGAAUUACUGGGUGUAAGGGAGCGCAGGCGGGAAGACAAGUUGGAAGUGAAAUCUAUGGGCUCAACCCAUAAACUGCUUUCAAAACUGUUUUUCUUGAGUAGUGCAGAGGUAGGCGGAAUUCCCGGUGUAGCGGUGGAAUGCGUAGAUAUCGGGAGGAACACCAGUGGCGAAGGCGGCCUACUGGGCACCAACUGACGCUGAGGCUCGAAAGUGUGGGUAGCAAUCAGGAUUAGAUACCCUGGUAGUCCACACCGUAAACGAUGAUUACUAGGUGUUGGAGGAUUGACCCCUUCAGUGCCGCAGUUAACACAAUAAGUAAUCCACCUGGGGAGUACGACCGCAAGGUUGAAACUCAAAGGAAUUGACGGGGGCCCGCACAAGCAGUGGAGUAUGUGGUUUAAUUCGACGCAACGCGAAGAACCUUACCAAGUCUUGACAUCCUGCGACGCACAUAGAAAUAUGUGUCUCCUUCGGGACGCAGAGACAGGUGGUGCAUGGUUGUCGUCAGCUCGUGUCGUGAGAUGUUGGGUUAAGUCCCGCAACGAGCGCAACCCUUACUGUCAGUUACUACGCAAGAGGACUCUGGCAGGACUGCCGUUGACAAAACGGAGGAAGGUGGGGAUGACGUCAAAUCAUCAUGCCCUUUAUGACUUGGGCUACACACGUACUACAAUGGCGUUAAACAAAGAGAAGCAAGACCGCGAGGUGGAGCAAAACUCAGAAACAACGUCCCAGUUCGGACUGCAGGCUGCAA
rnacentral:rRNA from 1 species